AACAACAGUGGUGAGUCCUUACAGACCUUUAAUGAUUCUUGCGGAUAUGAUCGCUUGGUCUUAUGAGCAUCUAAGGGACCGAGUUAUG